GCACAGGCUGAGUAGUGGUGUAAAAAUGGCUUUGGAAUGGCAACAUUCGACCGAAAAUCUUGUUAAAAGUUUUGACCAUUCCGCAUCCAAGUAAGGUAACAUCAUGGCCGGACAACAUGUCGAUAUGGCCCAGCAUCACAACAUCCAAGAUCUUUUCUUAUUUUAUUGAUUCCAUGGCGGUGGAUGGGAAUGCAAUUAAUAACCUAAGAAAGCUCAGAGGCGUUUCAGUACCUCCAUUCCGACAAAGUGGGCUGUGUACUUUUACACGAUAUGGGCAUAGAACGGCCGAUGUUCAACCAAGCCAGUCCGUUAACAAUUCAGCGCGUAACGCCUGGGUUUUGGUUACCAAGACGGGAGAUGUGGAGCUUUGCGCUUUGGAAGUACAGGAGGUUCCCCAGGCCUCCAUGGGAUUUUCUCCCUUUGAACUUUUGUUUGGACACCGAGGGGGGGGUGAUGGACCUAAUUAAAGAAAACUGGGAGGAAGGUCCGAGCCCCGGCAAGAUCGAGAUCCAGUACGUCCUGGACCUGCGAGCAGAGGAGCCAGGCUGCGGCAAUUCACACCGGGAGAAAAGACAGACUCAUCGGACAAGGGGCUGGGUGCCGUUUUGUCCCAGGAGGUGGGGGGGGAGAGUUGACUGCCCCGUGUUAUAAAUCAGCCGGAGGCUGUCCGAGUGGGAGGCCAGGUACAGCACGGUGGAGUAGGAGUGCCUGGCCAUCCAGUGGGCGUUGGACUCCCUGCGCUACUACCUCCUGGGACGUCAUUCACCCUCUGUUCGGACCACGACCCGCUCCCCGCAUGAAGGAUACCAUACUAAUCUCCGCUCCCUCUUUUUUAAAUUGGUUCUGUUCAACCCUCUUUAAUGUUUUGUGUCUGUCUUUUUUGUUUUAUUUUUGUGUGAACUUUGUGGGAAUCGUAUUGCAUCUGUAAGUGUCGGUAUUGUUAAUAUUUCUUCUUUUAUCUGGCCGUAGAGUCGAUCAUGCCCGUUCCUGUGAACACCAAAUUGACUUGAGAAUCCUCAAGCUGAAAUAACAUCACCUGCCCAAAGUUCCAGUUUCCUGAAUACAAAGCCCUCUGUUUGGGAAUUUAUCCCACCUGACGAGUCUCGACGCAGUGACUCAAACAUCUUUGUCAAGGUUAAUUACAGAGGAUCAUUGCAGUCCAAAUUGAACACUGACUGGUCAACAUGAGUCGUCAAGUGCAUGUGUGUGACUCCCCACCGGGUUGUGUGACCUCCUCAGUCAAGUCUGGACUCAGUGAUUCAUUACUCUUGAUCAUGUUUACUCAUUUAUGGACACAUGCUGUUUUUUGUGUUUAGCUAUAGCUAAAGUUAAAAUCCAUUCCAAAACAAUUGUAUACUGUAUUUUUUGUAAUUGAAUUAUUUUUUCUUUUUAAUGUUUGCACUUGUCUCAAUUUUUUCUUUGGCCUAGAUGUCAAGCAAACGUUGGACCUGUCCCACACGUACUUUUUUCCUUUCAACCUUAGGCUAAUCUUAAAAGGAAGAGGUAGUGUGCAUUAGAAAGAGGGGUAGAGAACUGGCACAACUUCCAGUCUUUGUUUGUGCCACGCUCUUACAUUAUUAUUUUAUUGUGUAAUUUAACAACUGAAAAGUUGAUUCUUAUGCCCACAGUAAUUUCCUGCCUCCCUCCCUCAUUUACAGAGACUCACUCUUGUGGCCAAUUAGUCAAUGUCUGUUGAAAUGUCUUCAUUUUUCAUUUGAGUGUUCAUUGAUCAGUAUAAUUGUAAUUAAUAAGCCAAUUUCACUUGGCAGAGAUGGGAGUUUUUGGCACUUGUUUUGAAUACCCUCAGUUAGUUACGGGGGAGGAAACGAGGGUCUCAUUAACUAGGUCGAAAUACAUGACUUUAUUAAUCUUCUACUGCCUGGGAUGUUAAAGAUUUGGUAUCAUCAGGCAGUUUAUGCUGUAUGGUAUUCACCACUGCACAUCUAGAGCUGACCUGAAAACACUGCUAUUGAUGGAUUCUGCUUGUGUGAACACCUGAUAAAGAAAAUGAAAGAGCUAAAGGAGGGUAAGCACUGGACAUAUGUUUGUUAGGGCAUUGUUACGGCCUUUUGGAAUGUUUAGGGAUAUGGCUGCAAGGCGAGCAAAAUAGCUGAAAGUGUAUCUACUUUGCCUGUGAACAUAGCAACCAGGAAAAGGAAGUUUAAUUAGGGAAAGGUUUUCAGUCUUCUAUACAACUCAACAUCACGGUUGUAAUUUUUGUCUUUUAAAGGGCUUUCCAGUCUUUAAACAUGCAACAUCCUCUGUCCCGAAACCCUUACAACAGCACAGGAAAAACUUGAUGAAAAAACCCUUUAACCGGGAGAAAAGAGGAAGAAAGGGCAUAGGAGGGAUCCCUCUAUCAAAAUGAACAACACGUAAAAGAUGUACAGUAUGUACGAAAUAUGACAGAAAUAAUUUAGAGUAGUGGGCGUCGUCACGACUUAAAAUGACUACUGAUAAUAAAAGCUGUAUUGGAUGAAGAAGGCUAACAAUAAUAACAAAUGAUUAUGGUGUCAGCAAUAGUGAUAUGACUACUGUAAAGGGCUGAGGGGCAGAAUAGGAAAAGGGGUGUAUGUACCUACACCAUCGGAAUCAAGCCAUCGCAAUCAGGUGUGCCAGGAGACAUACCUGGACCUCAUCAAGGGGGGUACAAAAGAAGGCGGAAGGAGCAGUGAAGGG
ensembl:lncRNA